GUGAACAUGAAGAUUUAAAUCAUGGCUAUUUUAUUGCUAACACUGGAAAGUUCUGGCAAGCUGGUAAAUGUUGAUCAUUGUUCUGAGUCCUCUGGGACCCAUACCAGCUAAUAAAAGAAUUCCUGAAGAUAAAAUUGGAUGUACACACACACACACACACACACUUAUGUAUCUAUUGAUGGUGUUCAACUUACAAUGGUUUUCUGUAGGAGUUUUUGACUUUAUUACGGUGCAAAAGCAGUACAUAUUCAGCAGAAACCAUACUUAAGUUUGGAAUUUUGCUAGCAAGAUGUGACUUGAAACUCUCUUUUGAUACUGGGAAGUGGAGCUCUCUGUCAGCCCAGCAAUCAUGAGAGUAAACACCCAAUACUCUAUACUGUACUGUGUUGAUAAGCUAUAAUGCUCAGUAAGCUAUGUAUGUAUGCAUUAGCACUUAUAUGUUCAAAUUCUGAUGGGUUUAUCAGAACACAACCCCACUGUAGGAUUCAAAAUGGCAAAUUAGAGAAAGUCACUUUCCUGGUUGCUCCAUGGUAUGAAACCAAGAAAUCAGACAUGCAGCUUCUCUGCAAGGUGAGAAGGAGAGAAUUUACUGGGGAUUAAUUCUGGACAUUCAAAGCAGAUUGGGGACACAGGAG
rnacentral:lncRNA from 1 species